rnacentral:tRNA from 1 species
GCUCCCGUAGUGUAGCGGCCUAGCACAAGCGACUUUCCCUCGCUUAUCCCCGGUUCGAAUCCGGGCGGGAGUACCA